GCCAGCGAGCAUGCAACACUGAGUACAUCGGUUAACGUUCGAUCACCGAAAUUAAGCAACAUCGGGCGCGGUCAGUACUUAGGAAGGGAACCGCUAAGAAACACUGCGUAUUGUUGGCA
rnacentral:rRNA from 1 species